GAUUUUUUUUCUUUUUAAUACCCUCGUUUGUAUUCUUGUCCUCUCUUCCUCUCUCUGUUUGGGUCAAUUUUUGCUUAAUUUUUAAGUGGGUUUGGUUUUUCUACUUCUAUGGGUCGGGGUUGCGGGUUGCCCAAUAAAAACCAAAGCAGUGAAACCCUAAUCUCUCUACCUCUCUCAUUCUCUCUCGCCAAACGCCAAAUGUGGAAGCCCUAAUGCCGUCGUCAACUCUAUUUUGAAUCAAAUCAUCCACGCCGAUCACCAUUUUCCUUAAAUAGUAUUUUCAGUCCAAAUAGCAUUUUCAGAGAUAGCUAAGUUAGUGUUAAUGAAGUGAAGUUUAAACAUUAGCAAUUCUGUAACUGGCGAUGGGUUAAUAAAUAAGACAUGGAUUUCGAGCCUCUUGUUCUAGAGAAUGCACGCUUGCGGGGCCACGUAUCGCAGAGAAGCAAUCUGCGGUAUAUAAAAACAGUUGUCGAACAUUUUGACGAGCGACAGCGGGCAGACUUUUGCAACUCAUGCCUUGGGUUCUUAUCCGA